AAUUCCAUCNNAAGCUNAAUAUUGGCGAGAGACCGAUAGCGAACAAGUACAGUGAUGGAAAGAUGAAAAGAACUUUGAAAAGAGAGUGAAAAAGUACGUGAAAUUGUUGAAAGGGAAGGGCUUGAGAUCAGACUUGGUNUUUUGUGUACACUUUCCUUCUUGGAUUGNUUUCGCAUUACUACCGGGCCAGCAUCNGUUUGGGUGGNAGGAUAAUGACAUUGGAACGUGGCUCUACUUCGGUAGAGUGUUAUAGCCUUUGUUGAUGCUGCCNACCNNGACCGAGGNCUGCGUCUUUUGACUAGGAUGCUGGCGNNA
rnacentral:rRNA from 1 species